rnacentral:tRNA from 1 species
GGGGGUAUAGCUCAGGGGUAGAGCAUCGGCCUUUUAAGCCGUUGGUCCUAGGUUCAAUUCCUAGUGCCCCCACCA